AUCUUCAACAGUUGAAACUCCAUGCUGAAUGCGACGUCCGAAGAAUCCACCCAGAAACAUGCCAUGGGGUUAUUCCAAAUUUCCAGUAGAUUAGCAUAUAGAAUCUAAAUCUAUAUUAUAUUAUUGGAGCUUGCAGGGAACGAAAUGGUCAACACUUGGAGAUUUCAAUGGCCAUCACCUCUCUGAGUUUUGUUGGUAAUUUCAAUUUUGUAUUUAAUUUUGUUCUUCACCAUUCAAAUUUGAAAUGGAACAAUUGAAUUGAUUUGUUUAGAAGUUGCAUAGUUUUGCGCUUCACUAAAUUUCGGUUCAAAUUGUUUAAAUUUAAACUUGUUGUUUUUCGAAAAUUUCGUUGAUUCUUCUUUCAUGUUGACAUAUGUAACGUACCCGUGGUUAAAUUUAGAUCUAGAAUCUAAUCUCUAGUUUUUUCAAAGUUUUAAAAAAAAAACUGAUCGAAAGAUGACCUAGAGUGGUGUCGCCGGUACGCGCGCACUUCGCGAUCGUUGAACGUAUUUUCCGCCAUUUCCGGCUUUGUACUUUCGUUUUUAGCUAUUCCAUUCAAGAAACUAUUGACCUAUAAAAUGGUCUUGCUCAUAGUCGCCAGAUUUCUUAAACGUUGUGUGCCCAACAAUUUUUCCAACCUAGGGUGUUGUCUUCACUGAGCGUGCAUUUCUUCUCAGUGCGUGCAUGGGAUUCUUCACUGAGCGUGCACCCAUAUAUACACGUUGAAAGCCAAAAGAAGAGGAAUCUGAUAACAUUAUUGCAUUAAAUGACCACACAGGAAGAUAACAAGUCACUUCAGAAGCAAAGUAAGGCAAUUUUAAUUAGAAUCUAAACUAAUUUAAUUUAGGGGGUAUAAAUAGUUCAAAUACAUAGUGAAAAAAAAUCAAACAGAAUUUUUCACAACUAAAAUCCACAUUUUCCUACUCUUCAUCACUCAUUCCUCUGAUCUUUCCAUCUUUCACACAGUCCACAUGCCACCAUCCAUGACAUUCUUCAAACUGCAACCAAAUAAUCUCUAAAAUUGAGUCUACUUUUUUUCUUAGUAUUCUACUAUAUAUUUCAUUGUGCACGCGCAGAGAAAACUCGAGUUUUUUCAGUCUUCACUACGCGUGCACCCCCCCCGAUCCCGAAACCCGCAUUACAACUUGGCAUAGAACUCGAUAAAAGGUCACGUGAAACACUCAAGGAAGGAGUAGGCACAUUUUUUAAGCUAGGGGGCGCGCACAGUCUAUUUGAACCAAUCAGAGGCAAAUAGGUCAUAAAAACUAGUUCACAGGUCAGCGUUGAAUGUCAACUUGCCACAGCUGAUAAAAACACUCUCGAUGAUCCCUUGUCGGCAAACGAGUGAUGGAAGUAAACAAAAAUGGCUGCUGCACACACUGACGCAUUCAAUCAAACGCAAAAACGCAAUUUGAGGCUAAAAACAAAGGAAAACAAAAGUGCACGCACCGAGAAGGCGCACGCGCAGGGGCUACACCACUCUAGAUUUUCUAGUUAAACAGCCCUUUAAAUGGGCCCUCUUUUUUUAAACACCCUUACUAUCUCUCUAUUGCAAUAAUGAAUAAUGAUGCUAGAUUAAAGUGUGUUAAAUAUAUUGAAAUAGAUUUAUGCAGUAAACAAACCUGAUGAUGGUUACCUAAUAUUUAUCUUUAUGACAUGGUUUUUAUUGUUUCAUUACAGUGGGGAGAUAUUUGCUCACAAGACAAACGUGUGUGCCUCAGUGACAGAGACCUGGUCUAUCUCCUGGACAUGAGGAGAGAGCAAAGGUCGACCAGAAACUGGAGGAGGCUGUUUCCAUCUGUACUUUCUACCUGUGCUGAAAGUGGCUUGAAAGAGCACCAAAACUGGUCCCUCACACCGGUGGAGCAACUGGCUGUUGCUAUGGAGAGAAGCUUUCUACGUAAAACAUCAUCUUUUUCUGAGUUGAACAUUCCAAAAUCCCAACAGUCGUCUGUGCCUGAGUGCCAUAGAAAUCUCGCCCUUACUUGAGAUACAGCCAUAGUUCUCUCCCCUGACCAUAAAAUAUGAAGCUUUCACCGACAAAGACAUCUUGAUGAUUCGGAUCCAGGCAAGGUCUAAGCUCUGUGGCGCCAUCGGCUCGCUAGAUAACACAGUGGACAGCAAACACAGUGUUCCCUGCCGUAUGUGAGAGACGAUCCCUGUGGUCUGAAGCCGGUCAAGCCAGUGCCAAUAUGGAGUCAGUAUCUCUCUGACCGCUCCUCUCUACCUGUGUGUGGGAAGAAAACGGUGAUAGAUGUCUUCUGAACGUCAGAACCUGACAGAAAUGUUCAGCUAUCUGUCCGGAGAACAUUCACGACACUACCAUGUAGAAGGGGACAUCAGAGAUAGUCAUCAACAGGAUCUGUCAGUAGAUUUGACUGGACGAAGGAUGAAGCAGAUAAAGAGAUGUGGAUACCUCAGUGGAUCUGUGUGGAUCGGAAAAAACCCUCAUGUCUAGCUCAUCCCGAAUAUUCCCCACUAUUUUCCAGCUCAUCCCCAGAAUUUUCUAGAUGA